GAUGAAGAACGCAGCGAAAUGCGAUAAGUAAUGCGAAUUGCAGAAUUUCCGUGAAUCAUCGAAUCUUUGAACGCACAUUGCGCCCGCCAGUAUUCUGGCGGGCAUGCCUGUUCGAGCGUCAUUUCAACCCUCAAGCACAGCUUGGUGUUGGGACUCGCGUUAAUUCGCGUUCCCCAAAUUGAUUGGCGGUCACGUCGAGCUUCCAUAGCGUAGUAGUAAAACCCUCGUUACUGGUAAUCGUCGCGGCCACGCCGUUAAACCCCAACUUCUGAAUGUUGACCUCGGAUCAGGUAGGAAUACCCGCUGAACUUAAGCAUAUCAAUAAGCGGAGGA
rnacentral:misc_RNA from 1 species